rnacentral:rRNA from 1 species
CCCUUAGAUGUUCUGGGCUGCACGCGUGUUACAAUCGGGAGUACAACAAGAUUGCAAAUCCUAGUGGAUGAGUGGUUCUUCGAAAUUUUCUGAAGACUGGGAUAGUUGAUUGAAAUUAUUCAACUCAAACGAGGAAUUCCUUGUAAUUGUAAUUCAUUAUAUUGUAAUGAUUACGUCCCUGCCCUUUGUACACACCGCCCGUCGCUACUACCGAUUGGAUGGUUUAGUGAGACCCUCGGAUCGGUCCCGACUCGGGGUGGGCUUCUGCCCCGGUCGUGGUUUCGUCGAGAAGACGGUCAAACUUGACUAUCUAGAGGAAGUAAAAGUCGUAACA